CCGGUUUAGGCUUGUAUUACCCGCUAGUGAGGUUCGGAAGUGGUUCCAUAUUUCGAAUGAGGCUGUUGAUUACAACUCCCGGUUUAGUCUUGUAUCAUCCGGUAGUGAGUUUCCGAAGUGUUUCGAUUGUUCGAAGGAGAAUAAAUGUGCAAUUUGUUUUGAAAUCCCAGGCCUAUUGAAUUGGGAGAACAUGGGACUGGCUGUUGGUCCUGUUGUGGAAACUUCUAUUAAUGUAAUUCGCUAUCGAACUGAUAUUUCCAUCAAUGGGGUACUCAAAGAUCAGUAUUCCAAGUUUCACGGUUCAACGCCAGACGAAAUGUGGCUAACUUAUAUUCCAUUAUCUGAUGAAAUAAAGGGAAAGGUGGAUGAAAAGGGUUAUUGGUCGCGUUAUCACUGUCAAGUUCAAUUUUACUCCCCUCAAUUGAAAAGCAGUGGGGUUCACCUCGUACGCCAACCACAUCGCGUUCAAUUCUUAUUUUCAAUUUUACUCCCCCCAAAUGAAGAGUUGCAGGAGUAACCAUCAAUGCUUCCCAUCCCCGAUUACUAUGCAUCUUCAUCUGCAUCCACCUCAGAUCAAAUCUUCCAGACUUCUAAUUGGCAAGCAAAUCUUCAUCCCAAUUCGAUACGUACGUUCUUUCAGAGACUAGCUGCUAUUUUCAGGAGAGUAUUGGUGGUAAUCAGCUAGCUAGGCCAUGCAAAUUAAGUGGGGACUAUAGAUUUUCCACUCGGAAAGGUUACAGACUCUGGCCAAUUUGACUACAUGCUGAAUGCUGAUCUAACUGAAUUUGAGACGAAUGCAAAUAAGCUAGAAGCAAAGGAGACUAUUGGUGGGAAUCAGCUAGGCUCUGCAAAUCAAGUGGGAAAUAUAAACAUUCACUUGGAAUGGUUGCAGAUUCAGGCAAGAUCGGGUGCAUGCUGAUCUGUCUGAAUUUGAGACGAUUGCAGAUAAACUAGAAGUAAAUGUAACAAGCAAACCAAUAGUGAUAUACCACAACAGUGGUGAGACCUAUGAUGGUCAGAGCAAGCAAUAGGUGUCAUGGAGUGGACGGGUUGAUGAGGUGUUUGCAGACAUAAUCAUAGAGAAGUGGCGUGAGGUCGGCUGGGGCUUCCCUGUUUGGAGGCUGCUGCAGGACAACUCCAAAUACCAUCACGGCAAUAUCAAAGGCUCUUUCUAACAAGCUAGUCUUUUGCAGUUAACAAUGCUUAAUUGAGUUCUGAAAAUGAGAUGUAAAUAUUUGUAAUCUGAUGCUAAGAAUAAGUGCAUGUGUCUUUUCAUUUCCUUGUUUUGUAACUCAAGAGGAAGUAGCAAACCCAUCACCAUGGUGCUUCUGCUGUAUGGUGACUGGGGAGUUUGUUUCACAUAAAAAAAAAAAAAAAAGUGCUUGUUACAUUUCAAGGUUAAAGAUCACUAACCUUCUGUAGUGUGUACUAAACAAGUUCUGAAAUUAGAGUGGCAUCCUACUAGUCAUAUUAACAACAAA